rnacentral:tRNA from 1 species
GCGGGCGUGGCGGAAUUGGUUUACGCGAUGGCUUUAGGUGCCAUUGCUCGAAAGAGCAUGGGGGUUCGAGUCCCCCCGCCCGCA